rnacentral:tRNA from 1 species
GGUUUUGUAGCUCAGUGGAUUAGAGCGUAUGGUUCCGAACCAUAAAGCCAAGGGUUCGAAUCCCUUCUAAACCAU